rnacentral:tRNA from 1 species
GGAGACGUAGCGAAGUGGUCAUAACGAGCCUGACUCGAAAUCAGGUUGCCCCUCAAAAGGCACGUGGGUUCAAAUCCCACCGUCUCCGCCA